GGAAGGAUCAUUACCACUGGUCGCAAGACCUUCAACAACUUGUGCACUUUAAAACCGUCUUUGCGAGCUUCGGCUCGCUUGUCGACUUGUCAACUGUUUGUUUUUUUGGGAUUAUAAAUUUACAACCAUUAACGGUGGAUCUCUGGGCUCAUGCAUCGAUGAAGAACGCAACAAACUGUGAUACGUAAUGUGAAUUGCAGAUGUUCGUGAAUCAUCGAAUUUUUGAACGCAUAUUGCGGUUUCCUGUAAGGGCGACCAUGUCUGCUUGAGUGUCACUUAUCAUAAAUCACUUUCGGGUGGAAGUGGGAGUCACGUUCGCGAGUCUCCUUAAAUUAGUUUCCUUGCGAUCUCACGAUCGUAGGAACAUGGUAGUUUCUGCUGUGUUCCGUGACUUAAUAAACUUGACCUCAAUUCAGACAAGACUACCCGCUGAACUUAAGCAUAUUAAUAAGCGGAGGAAAAGAAACUAACAAGGAUUCCCCCAGUAACGGCGAGUGAAGAGGGAACAGUCCAAGUCGAAAGCUCCGUGGUUUCCACGGCGCGAUGUGACCUGAAGGAACAUGUUCCGGUACGAAGUCUGGCGUAACUCCGUUGGAAAACGGGGUCAAAGAGGGUGACAAUCCCGUAUUUGGCUGGUCCUAGUGCCUUUGCAACAUGUUUCCGCUGAGUCGAGUAGUUUGGGAAUGCUGCUCAAAGUAGGUGGUAAAUUCCAUCUAAGACUAAAUAUAUGCAUGAGACCGAUAGCGAACAAGUACCGUGAGGGAAAGAUGAAAAGGACUUUGAAAGGAGAGUCAAAAAGUACGUGAAACCGUUAAUGGGGAAACGAAUGCAAUCCUCGCAGCGGCGUGGGUUACAAUGUCUUGACUCUCCGUUUGACUUUAGCGCGGACCGAAAGGCCAGCGAUGGCGAACGUUGUCAGGGCAUGUACUCCCAUUCUGCGGCCAAUAUCGGUCAGUCUUGGGAUAAAGUCUCGAAGGGAAGGUGCUCCGGAGUCUUCGGGUUUCGGAGGUUAUAACCCUUUGCGGACGAUCUGGGACUAACUGAGGAACUUGUCUUAUAUAACGGUAAAUUCACGACGUGUUCGGGAACGAGUCAGAAUGGCGACAUUCAGGCUUCUUUCUGAAUUCGUACGGGGUCAACCAGACUUGAGAUAUGACAUUGGCCAGAACGAUUACAUCCGUCCCGUCUUGAAACACGGACCAAGGAGUCUAACAUGUGCGCGAGUCGUAGGGUGUCAAACCUGAAGGCGCAAUUAACGUGAAGGGGCCGCAAGGCUCUGAGGUGUGAACAUUCGUGCAACACCGACCGACCCGGAUGGUUUCCUGAAAGGUUCGAGUUUGAGCGUACAUGUUGGGACCCGAAAGAUGGUGAACUAUGCCUGAACAGGGUGAAGCCUGAGGAAACUCAGGUGGAAGCUCGUAGAGAUUCUGACGUGCAGAUCGAUCUCUAGAUUUGGGUAUAGGGGCGAAAGACUAAUCGAACCAUCUAGUAGCUGGUUCCCUC
rnacentral:misc_RNA from 1 species